UGUUUCUCGGGUGGCGAGCGGCGGACGGGUGAGUAAUGCCUGGGAAAUUGCCCUGAUGUGGGGGAUAACCAUUGGAAACGAUGGCUAAUACCGCAUGAUGCCCUUGUUUAUAAUGAACAGGGGCCAAAGAGGGGGACCUUCGGGCCUCUCGCGUCAGGAUAUGCCCAGGUGGGAUUAGCUAGUUGGUGAGGUAAGGGCUCACCAAGGCGACGAUCCCUAGCUGGUCUGAGAGGAUGAUCAGCCACACUGGAACUGAGACACGGUCCAGACUCCUACGGGAGGCAGCAGUGGGGAAUAUUGCACAAUGGGCGCAAGCCUGAUGCAGCCAUGCCGCGUGUGUGAAGAAGGCCUUCGGGUUGUAAAGCACUUUCAGUAGGGAGGAAGGUGGUAGUGUUAAUAGCACUAUCAUUUGACGUUACCUACAGAAGAAGCACCGGCUAACUCCGUGCCAGCAGCCGCGGUAAUACGGAGGGUGCGAGCGUUAAUCGGAAUUACUGGGCGUAAAGCGCAUGCAGGUGGUUUGUUAAGUCAGAUGUGAAAGCCCCGGGCUCAACCUGGGAAUUGCAUUUGAAACUGGCAAAC
rnacentral:rRNA from 1 species